rnacentral:rRNA from 1 species
AUUGAACGCUGGUGGCAGGCCUAACACAUGCAAGUCGAGCGAGCGGCGGACGGGUGAUGAAUGGAUGGGGACUGCCCGAUAGAGGGGGCUAACUACAGGAAACGGUGGUUAAUACCGCGUCCUGUAGGACAACCCAGAUGGGAUGAGCUAGUAGGUAAGGUAAUGGCUUACCCAGGCGACGAUCCCUAGCUGGUCUGAGAGGAUGAUCAGCCACACUGGGACUGAGACACGGCCCAGACUCCUACGGAGGCAGCAGUGGGGAAUAUUGCACAAUGGGCGAAAGCCUGAUGCAGCCAUGCCGCGUGUAUGAAGAAGGCCUUAGGGUUGUAAAGUACUUUCAGUCGGGAGGCGUUACCGACAGAAGAAGCACCGGCUAACUCCGUGCCAGUAGCCGCGGUAAUAC